AAGAAGAGCAUGUCUUGGUGUAGGCUGCUUCUUGAGGAGGAGUGCUGCGUAGCCAGAGAUCCACUUCACUAUUUGGCCUGCUGCCUCUAGCCAGAAGCCUCUCCAUGGGCAGAAUGAUUCUCCUUUCUCAUCAGUCACCACAAUGAAAUAUUAAGAAUGUAUUUUACUCUGCAAAAAGUGUUUGUUGCACUAAUACAUUAUCAAGAUAUGUGAACAGUUCUAGAAUGUGAAAAAGUGCAUUAUUCUCUCUGGGAGCCAAAUAUAUACUUCAGCAAAGGUGGAUGUCUGGCCAUUCGGAUAUUCUGCAAGAUAUAUAUUAUCUGCAUCGCUCCUAUGGCAGAGUGAAAAAUGUUUAAUAUAAGUUUUUCAAGGCAUGAAAACAGUUCGGAAUUCAUCUUCCUGUGAAUAUAUGUUUGAAGGGAGCAUUUAAUAAAAGUGAAAAUCUAGAUUUCUUCUGAAAGCCUUUCUACAUUUUCUUACCAGUAAAAAUGAAACUUUAAAGCUGUAACUUAUCUUUCGCAAUUGGCCAUCAGUAACCAGGCAAUCUGGGGAAAAAGAGAUAUCUGAAGUCACUUUUCAAGGAUUCUUUUGAAGUUACUACUGAACUUGUGUUUGGGGUAAGCAGUAUUUUCCUCGAUACUGUCUUUUGCAAGCAAAAGAGUUUUUCAUUCUCAGCGCUUACUUAGGAACAGUGAAGGUGAAAUUGUGGGUACUACGAUUAUCGGGGCAACUUAUUGAAAUUGGUCUUGGAUAAUAAUUUCAUUGUGUGCUUGAAUAUUUCAUUUUGUUCUGACUUCUGAUGACUUUCUUUACCUGUGUAAUUGUAAUAAUUUGGGAGUUGUUUUUAGUGACUCUUAAAGUUAAAUGGAACUCCUCAUAGAGGAUAGAGAGGGAAAACUUUGUACUUCAUUAUAGAUAUAUGCAUUAGUUAUUCACAAUGAAAUGUCAAUCCAACAUUUUUUUUAGCGUAAAACAAGGUACAGUAAGAUGCAUCUUACACAUUAAACUCCUAUGUUCUACAGUGCUCAACUUACAGAAAUUGCCAUUGCUAAUUUACUGUGAUUUUAAGAGUACGUGCAGAUACUUGACUAAAGAAAACCAUCAGAUGAAUUCUGUGUCUCUUUACUGCUUUAAGUUGUAACAUCUUGCAUUGAUAAGCUUAAUCAUCUACAGUCAAUGAAAGAUUAAUUUUUCUGUCUUUAUUUACAUUAAUCUACUUAAUUUUCAUACUUUGCAUGCUUACAUUUCUUCCACACCUUGCAAAUAAAUGUUUCCACAUUACCAAGUGGUUCUGGCUCCGUGACUGA